CGCUGGCGGCGUGGAUUAGGCAUGCAAGUCGAACGCGAAAGUCCCUUCGGGGAGCGAGUAGAGUGGCGAAAGGGUGAGUAAUGCUUGGAUGACCUGCCCUCGAGACGGGGACAACAGUUCGAAAGGACUGCUAAUACCCGAUAGUCCGGUUUAGAUGCGUCUAGAUCGGUAAAUGGUGCUUCCGCUCGAGGAGGGGUUCAAGUCCUAUCAGCUUGUUGGUGAGGUAACGGCUCACCAAGGCGAUGACGGGUAGCCGGACUGAGAGGUUGGCCGGCCACAUGGGAACUGAGACACUGUCCUGACUCCUACGGGAGGCUGCAGUCGAGAAUCUUCUGCAAUGGGCGAAAGCCUGACAGAGCGACGCCGCGUGGAGGAUGAAGGCCCUCGGGUCGUAAACUCCUGUCACAUGUUAUGAAACGCACAGGUCUACCUGUGCGCUGACAAAAGCAUGAGAGGAAGUCACGGCUAACUUCGUG
rnacentral:rRNA from 1 species